GGUAAUGUCUGGGAAACUGCCCGAUGGAGGGGGAUAACUACUGGAAACGGUAGCUAAUACCGCAUAACGUCGCAAGACCAAAGAGGGGACCUUCGGGCCUCUUGCCAUCGGAUGUGCCCAGAUGGGAUUAGCUAGUAGGUGGGGUAACGGCUCACCUAGGCGACGAUCCCUAGCUGGUCUGAGAGGAUGACCAGCCACACUGGAACUGAGGCACGGUCCAG
rnacentral:rRNA from 1 species